rnacentral:misc_RNA from 1 species
UUAUUUAUUUAUUUAUUUAUUGUUAUUAUUUUUUGAUGAAGAUGAAAAUUGGGUCUUAGUUAGAUUUCUGUUAUUAGUAUUAAACAGGAUUUUGAUUGUGGUUCAAAUUGCUCAGAUUUUGUCAACUUCAUCUAAUUUAACGAAAUUUUGUUCGUUGAAUUUGUUAAUUCUACGUCGAGUAUUUUGUGCAUUUGUUAUCUGAGGUUAUAUUUAGAUUAGGGUUUCAUUCAAAUCGGAAAUUUGUUAAUAAUUUCGGUUAAAUUUGCGUUAUCAUCUUGUUGUUGCUUGGUUUGCUUCAGUUUAACUGAUAAUUUGGCGUUCGGAGUAAAAUCUCAGAACUAAUAAGCAGCUGUUAGUUUCCCUUUUGUUAUUUUAAAUUGCCUUCGUUUCUGUAAAUUUGGAUUGCAAUUGGGAACAAAACACUACCCUUAUGGCACAGAUGAAAGAGUUUUAUCAUAAAUUUCUUGGGUUUCGUUCAGUUUUAACUAAUCCGUCGAAUUAAAUUUACAUAUCCAGUUUCUGAACAAAAAUGUCUGGGCGUGGCAAGGGAGGCAAGGGGCUGGGAAAGGGAGGAGCCAAGCGUCAC